rnacentral:misc_RNA from 1 species
GAUGAAGAACGCAGCGAAAUGCGAUAAGUAAUGUGAAUUGCAGAAUUCAGUGAAUCAUCGAAUCUUUGAACGCACAUUGCGCCCGCCAGUAUUCUGGCGGGCAUGCCUGUUCGAGCGUCAUUACAACCCUCAGGCCCCCGGGCCUGGCGUUGGGGAUCGGCGGAGCCCCCCGUGGGCACACGCCGUCCCCCAAAUACAGUGGCGGUCCCGCCGCAGCUUCCAUCGCGUAGUAGCUAACACCUCGCGACUGGAGAGCGGCGCGGCCACGCCGUAAAACACCCAACUCUUCUGAAGUUGACCUCGAAUCAGGUAGGAAUACCCGCUGAACUUAAGCAUAUCAAUAGCGGAGGA